rnacentral:rRNA from 1 species
UUCCGGUUGAUCCUGCCGGACCUGACUGCUAUCGGAUUGAUACUAAGCCAUGCGAGUCAUUGUAGCAAUACAAGGCAGACGGCUCAGUAACGCGUAGUCAACCUAACCUAUGGACGGGAAUAACCUCGGGAAACUGAGAAUAAUGCCCGAUAGAACACUAUAUCUGGAAUGGUUUGUGUUCCAAAGGAUUUAUCGCCGUAGGAUGGGACUGCGGCCUAUCAGUUUGUUGGUGAGGUAAUGGCCCACCAAGACUAUUACAGGUACGGGCUCUGAGAGGAGUAGCCCGGAGAUGGGUACUGAGACACGGACCCAGGCCCUAUGGGGCGCAGCAGGCGAGAAAACUUUGCAAUGUGCGAAAGCACGACAAGGUUAAUCCGAGUGGUUUCUGCUAAAGGAACCUUUUGUCGGUCCUAGAAACACCGAUGAAUAAGGGGUGGGUAAGUUCUGGUGUCAGCCGCCGCGGUAAAACCAGCACCUCAAGUGGUCAGGAUGAUUAUUGGGCCUAAAGCAUCCGUAGCCUGCUUUGUUAGUUUUCGGUUAAAUCUAUACGCUCAACGUAUAGGCUGCCGGGAAUACUGCAAAGCUAGGGAGUGGGAGAGGUAGACGGUACUCGGUAGGAAGGGGUAAAAUCCUUUGAUCUAUUGAUGACCACCUGUGGCGAAGGCGGUCUACCAGAACACGUCCGACGGUGAGGGAUGAAAGCUGGGGGGGCAAACCGGAUUAGAUACCCGGGUAGUCCCAGCCGUAAACCAUGCAAACUCAGUGAUGCAUUGGCUUGUGGCCAAUGCAGUGCUGCAGGGAAGCCGUUAAGUUUGCCGCCUGGGAAGUACGUACGCAAGUAUGAAACUUAAAGGAAUUGGCGGGGGAGCACCACAAGGGGUGAAGCCUGCGGUUCAAUUGGAGUCAACGCCGGG